rnacentral:rRNA from 1 species
UACGUAGGGGGCAAGCGUUGUCCGGAUUUAUUGGGCGUAAAGAGCGUGUAGGCGGCCAGACAGGUCCACUGUGAAAACUCGAGGCUCAACCUCGAGAGGUCGGUGGAAACCGUCUGGCUAGAGUCCGGAAGAGGAGAGUGGAAUUCCUGGUGUAGCGGUGAAAUGCGCAGAUAUCAGGAAGAACACCCGUGGCGAAGGCGGCUCUCUGGGACGGUACUGACGCUGAGACGCGAAAGCGUGGGGAGCGAACAGG